UGGCUCAAUUGGUUGAGCAUCCGACUUCAGCUCAGAUUAUGAUCUCACAGCUUGUGGGUUCGAACCCCAC
rnacentral:tRNA from 1 species